UACGAAGGGGGCUAGCGUUGCUCGGAAUCACUGGGCGUAAAGGGUGCGUAGGCGGGUCUUUAAGUCAGGGGUGAAAUCCUGGAGCUCAACUCCAGAACUGCCUUUGAUACUGAGGAUCUUGAGUUCGGGAGAGGUGAGUGGAACUGCGAGUGUAGAGGUGAAAAUUCGUAGAUAUUCGCAGGAACACCAGUGGCGAAGGCGGCUACUGGUCCAUAACUGACGCUGAGGUGCGAAAGCGUGGGGAGCAACAGGAUUAAGAAACCCGGGUGAG
rnacentral:rRNA from 1 species